rnacentral:rRNA from 1 species
GAUGAACGCUGGCGGCGUGCCUAAUACAUGCAAGUCGAGCGAACGGACGAUAAUCUUGCUGCUCUGAUGUUAGCGGCGGACGUGUGUGUAACACGUGUAUAACCUACCUGUAAGACUGGUAUAACUUCGGGAAACCGGAUCUAAUACCGUAUAAUCUUUUGAACCGCAUGGUUCAAUAGUGAAAGACGGUCGUUCGGUCAGUUAUAGCGGGUUCUGCGCUGCAUUAGCUAGUUGUGAAGUUAACGGCCUACCAAGGCAAGGAUGCAUAACCGACCUGAGAGGCGGAUCGGCCACCCUGGAAGUGGGACACGGUCCAGGCUACUACGGGACGCAGCAGUCGGGAAUGUUCCGCAAUGGGCGAAAGCCUGACGGAGCAACGGCGAGUGAGAGACAGAGGCCUUGGGAUCGUAAAAAUGUCUUAUUAGGGAAGAACAGAUGUGUAAGUAACUGUGCACAUAUUGACGGUACCUAAUCAGAAAGCCACGGCUAACUACGUG